rnacentral:tRNA from 1 species
AAUUCAGUGGUAGAAUGGAAGCUUCCCAAGCUUCAUACGAGGGUUCGAUUCCCUUC